rnacentral:rRNA from 1 species
UACGAAGGGGGCUAGCGUUGCUCGGAAUCACUGGGCGUAAAGGGUGCGUAGGCGGGUCUUUUUUUAAGUCAGGGGUGAAAUCCUGGAGCUCAACUCCAGAACUGCCUUUGAUACUGAAGAUCUUGAGUCCGGAAGAGGUAAGUGGAACUGCGAGUGUAGAGGUGAAAUUCGUAGAUAUUCGCAAGAACACCAGUGGCGAAGGCGGCUUACUGGUCCGGUACUGACGCUGAGGUGCGAAAGCGUGGGGAGCAAACAGG